rnacentral:rRNA from 1 species
UACGUAGGGUGCAAGCGUUGUCCGGAAUUAUUGGGCGUAAAGAGCUCGUAGGCGGUUUGUCGCGUCGGCUGUGAAAACCUGGGGCUCAACCCCGGGCCUGCAGCCGAUACGGGCAAACUAGAAUUCGGUAGGGGAGACUGGAAUUCCUGGUGUAGCGGUGAAAUGCGCAGAUAUCAGGAGGAACACCGGUGGCGAAGGCGGGGCUCUGGGCCGAUAUUGACGCUGAGGAGCGAAAGCGUGGGGAGCGAACAGG